CAGAGUACCUGUUCGGAUUCUGAUAUCAAUAUUCCUUGGAAAGACGCCAGAACCACCAGAUCCAGCAGGAAUUCCAGAGCUCUGUUGGACAGUUCCACCAGUCGCACCAAACCCUGUUCCCAGUUGAAAAGAAAGUGGCUACAUGUAGUUCAAAGAAAAAGCAUUAGUAUACAACUCAAACAUGCUACACAAAUGGAAAUAAAUACAUUUAUUGGACUUUAUUAUCACCUGAACCAUUAUAGGAUUGGGACCACUUGGCGAUAAGAACACAGCAGGCCCUGCAUUUACGAUAGCUUCGGCCUGAGUAAGAGACGGGGGUUAUUACCAUGGUUGGCAGAUAAAACAAAAUGAUUCCCAAGGUUUUUGAAUUUGCCAUCUAAAACUACGAGUACGGGAACAGAUGUAAUUUUAUUUCAGCUAAUUCCGACGUUCACAACGUAGUUAAACAUACCGGUGUUUGCCCCAUCCGCAACGUCAUUGUUGUCCGAGCAAGCUCAAGUAGCACGGCCCCCAAGUUUUGAAGAAGAAUUCCCGAUCUUAGAGCACUAGAUUGAAUUCUCACUCGUUCUGAAGCAUCAGUCACAUUUGCGUGAUCCUCCAGCUGUCUUGCAAGUAGCUAAAUAAAAAGAAAUCAAGAAAACAACAAGGUUCAUUAACCAUACUCUUAUAACAAGAUUGUUAAAUAUAAUCAUAACAGUAAUGAUGUCCUAUCAUAUAGACAAAAGCAGUAAGAAAAAAAAAAUCUAUCAGUUUAUCAUGCCUGCCUUCCGCAGUUUUUGGCCAAGACAAACCCUGGAAAGCUAGUGAAUCAGCCAGCCAGACCUUUGGGGUUGGUAUAAAGAAUACUCUUCAACUAACCACACCAAUUCUAUCUCAUAGUUUACAUCUAACUUUUAUUGGAUUAUUGUUUCUUUUUGCAAUGUCAGAAUGGACAAUGGCAACGUUCUACCUGAAUGCCCCGCAUUAGCUAAAGACCACAAGCAAGCUUCCACAUUAGCAAAAAGUGAAGGCCAGCAAGAAAAGUACAAGCUGAAAACAAGCAUAAAGUCAGUUUGUCCAACAAGCUUACAAGAAACAUAACAAGUUUGGGCAUCCCAGGUUAGUGUAUCAAGACCAAUUUUUGCCAUAUCCGGAUCCAUGUCCCUCUUCUUUUUGUGUUCUUUUCUCAUCCUUUUGGGGCAGCUGUUCUUGCUUAUGAUCUCCCUGACCAAACCUUUAAUGUAUUUUAUUGCAGAUCUGGGGAAUGGAAGCAACACUUUCCGCACUCAGGGCACCAAGAAAAUUUAUACGCCCAGUGGCAAGUUAAUCUUUCCUUCCACAUCUUCUGAUCCCCAAUGAUAUUUCUCACUUUACAACAAAAAAAAGGGACUGAAACUCACCAAAAGAACUUUUAUUAAACAAAAUUCAGUUAAAGAAUUUUUAAUCUCAGCUUAAGAUAGCAGCAUUGUUACUUUUGUCAGAACUGAAACCAUAUGACUUCUCAAAUCCAUAAGCUUUAUUCGCAGCCUACUUUCUUGUCUCUCACACAACAUCAUAAGAUCAGAAUCUCAAGAUAUUUUCACUAACAAAAGUCAUAAAAGCAAUCACAUACCAAUAAGCACUCUUCUACUUGUUCAUUGAGAAUCUGUCUUGCAGUCAGCAUCACAUCUGCCAAGGAUGCCGGUGUUGGAAGUCCUCUUUGGACAGUAGAAACUGAUGCUGCAUCUGAAUUUUGUCCAUCCCUCCCACGAAUGCCAACAGCCUGACUUAAGUUGGUCUGUUCUUGAACUGCAAACACCAUAAGGGAAUCUCUCAGAGAAAUGGAGACACAAACUAAGAUUUCAAGAGCAGAAAAGCUUCCUGACCAUUGGCAACAAAUUCCUGCCUCAAACGAUUUAAGUUCUGGGACAAAGUUGCUAAAGAAUCAGGGAUAAUCUGCAAGAAAAAUCAAACUCAAUACAAUUGUUAACUAGCCUUGCUACGCAGACUGAGAUUGAUGCAGGAGCAUGUUAGCGUUAUAUAAGUUCUCGUUCAAUAUUCUGGUAGGUAUGCCUUAUUUCUAAGUCUAAUAGUAGUUUUAGAAACGCACUCUUCAUUAAUCCUAGUAAUCUAGUCCUGCUAUCUAAAGUUUCCUUUAGUUUUCUGUGCCAGAGAGUUUGAAAGAGAUGGUGCAGGGGAGCACCAAAUUGUAGUAUCAGAUCCUCAAAUAAGUUGCUUGUUUAGGAAGAUGUGAAUCACAUCCAAUAUUGCUUUCUUAGUUCCUCUGAAAAUAAGAACAGGAAGCAGAAGACCAAAAGCUAAUCCUCUAAUCACCAAAAGAAGAAUAUUCUCCUGAAGGACAAACUACUAGGAUUCUUGACUCUUGUCACUCCCUAAAGCACCCAUGUUUUGCAAAAUAAGUGCUUCCAGACAUGGAGAAAGUUGAGAACAGAAAAAAUACCAAGACCAUAAUCAAUAUAUUGUUAAAUUCUUCAAAAAAAAGGUAUUAAGAAUUCAACAUAUUACUGUAUUGUAAUUUGUUCUUGAUUCCAUGACAAUAAGAGAAUGCUUCCUGCAUGAAAAAUAUAAGAAUGAUAAUAAUAACACAAGAAACUUACAGGCGGCUGGAGGGACUCCACAGAAUCAGCAGUUGGAACAGAGAAACUACCAGAAUCAUUUAUUGCUUGUCCCCUUGAAUCAGCUUGGUCUGUCUGUGGCCUGCUAGAAUUUCUUAGACCACCAAGACUAGGGCCGUUUAGAAUCCUUUCUAGUGGAUGCUCCUGGAAAUCAUAGUACGCAAAAAGGAAAAAAAAAGAAAAGAAAAGUUGAGACAAAUAAAAUUAAUACAUAUUCAGUCAUAUUUCAUGAUUAUUGAGCUCGAACACCCUUCACACAAAGGCUCCACCUAAAAUCUGGAAAAUUCUUAAAGAAAAGUCAGGAAGAGCAAAGCAGACAUGUCUAAAUGGCGAAAAGAAAAGAAAAGAAAAGAAAUCUUUUUAGCAUGCUUGUUAAAUGGCGAAAAUUAGAGUGAAAGUUGGUUUCUGCCAAGUCAUGUCUAACCAAACAUUGAAGAAAGAAAACAUAAGAUCCUUGCUAGCACUAUCAGUUAUUUUUCAGUUCAAUGGAACAGUACCUUAAGGAAACAAUACAGUGCCUAAGGCACAAGAAGUAUAUAAAGCUGCACAUAAAGCAUGCAGAUUUACACUAAGCAGGUCAACCAAGUAUAACUGUAACAAGUGAAGUCAUAAGAGCUCUGCUUGUGUAAUAUCAGCAAUUAAUGUCAUGAUUCAUGGAUAUACAACUCCUUUACAAAUGUCUAGCAAGUCCAAAGAAAACUCAUAACCUGAAUGCAAAAUCUAUGACCCUGCCAAAGCAGGACUCCAUGGUUUAAAUGCCAUUUCAUGAAUACAUCACAAGUUUACUGUCAAUUAAAACAGGUAAACAGCCAUUCAUUGAAGAUAAGUCUAAAAACAUGAAACUUUAUCAUUGCCAACAGUAGAAUUAGCACGUAUUAAAUUUGUAGAAAUUACAACAAAAUGCCCCAAAAGAGUAUGCGAGGUUGAUAGUGGAAAAUCUUCAAAAACUUACAUUAAGAUCAAUCCCUUCACUGCCACUUCCAGCACCUGCUAUUCCAAAAGAACCAAGCAGAGCAGAAAAAACCUAGAAUAUGCAAAGGAAAGAUAGUAGAAUGAAAAAGGGGGGUAAGAAAUAAGUCAUUCUGACACCAUUUAAGUAUAACAGGAGCUUUUAAUCUAAGGCCCUGUUUGGCAAACAAGUUUUUCUCCUACAAGUUUUUUAACAACUUUAGCUACAGUAACCUCAAAAAACUCCCCAAAAUUUUAAAAAUCCACACCUUACAAUACCCAAAAACACACAAAUCCCUUCUUUCUAUUCUUCUUCUUCCUCCCCCAACCUCAACCAACCCACCACCAGAACCACCGCCCGGCAACUCCGGCGGUGCCCCACCAGCCACUAUUUUUUUCUUUUCUUUCUCUCCUCCCCUCCCCUCUCCCCGCCACCUUCUUCCGCUUCUCCCUCCCCCUGACAGGUUCCUCCUCAACCGACCACUCAAUCUUUUCCUCGGUAAGGUUCAAUAAUUCCUCAUCCGCAUCAUCAUGGAGAACCAAAUGCUUACCAGAGAUUUCAUCGAAAAGUUUGAUGCAGCCAUGGUACCACGAUUGGUCCAACGGCUAGUAAAUCCUAAUUCUUUCAUUGACAACCUCAGGUCGGUAGGAUUUCAUGGGAGAAGCCAAAGCAGAAGGUGAGGAAGGUCGGAUGACUAGUAAGGGUUUCUUUGGUCUGGUUUCCAGAGCUGAAGGAGUGAGCAGGCUGGAGCUGGGGGAGGAGGGUGGCGAGGGGAGGGAAACGGGGGAGAAGGUGGCGGGGAGAGUGGGGAAAGGGGGAGGAGGAGAAGAGGGGAGGGGAGGAGAGGGGAAGAAUGUGACGAGAAAGAAGGGAGAAGAGGGGAAGAGGGAAGGAAGGGAGGGAGGUAGGAGGAGAAGGGGAGGACAGGAGAGGGGAGGGAGGGAGAGAGAAAAAAAAAAGAGAGAGAGAAGGCUGACAGCGCCACCGUCGUCGACGCUGGAGAAGAAGAGCAGUGGGGUGGGAGAGAAGGAGAGGAGAAGAAAGAAAAGGAAAAAGAAAGAGAGAGAGAAAGAAAUGGAAAAAGAAAAGGGAAAAAAAGGAUAGAUUCUUUUUUUUGUUAAAAAGGAAAGUUUUAUUACAACUCAAAAAGUUUUCCUACAAAUUCUACAGUAAGUUACAGUAAAGUUUUAGACAAACACCCAAAAAACUCAUUUGCCAAACGGGGCCUAAAAUCUAUUUUCCAAAAGAAA
rnacentral:lncRNA from 1 species